CAAAAAAUAGUUUAUUGAAAAUUUUAAUUUUGGAGAUUAAAGAUAUAAAAAAUUUAUUUUUUUGA
rnacentral:tRNA from 1 species